ACUCUUUCCCUUAUUUUCCUUGAUUAACGCGGCUUCUCAAACACGGUUUCAUAAUACGUCCUCUCUCUUCAAUCAAUCCUUAAACCCUAAUUUCAAUUUCAUACAUCUCUGCCUGUUCUGUCGCUGAUUAUCUUCAAAUCAAGGUUAGGUUACCGAUGAAAGCUAUUAAUCAUGUUUUAUUUGUUAUUCGAAUCGGAACAGAUAUGCGAUUUCUGUUCGUUCACAUCGUUCCUUAUCUUCUUGGUUUGCAUUUGAUCACAACAGGUUUUGUGUCGAUUUCUCUCUAAAAUUAUGGUCAACUUCUCUCUAAAUUAAGUUUAAUUUUGUUAAUUAUUGCGAUUUUAGAGCCAAUUCAAUUCGGAAUCAUGUUGUUAUGAACGCCACUACGUUUUGGUAUUGUCAAUGUUUUAUUGAUUAGGAUAAUUUUGGUUUCUCUUUUGAGUUUUGGGGAUACUAGGGUUUUAGAUCUACGAUUUAGGUUAUCAAAUCUACGAUUAUGGAUUUUAGAAACAAAAAUCGUUCUAGGGUUUCGAUUUUUAUUUGAAUGUAGCUGUUAUUUAAUUGAUGUUAGCUCUUUCCCCAUCAUAUUUACACUAAUUUCUAAUUUCUAUACAUAUAGUAUGUCUCUGUAUUUGGUCUAGGGCCUUUAUAAACUACAUUGGUGAAAAUGGAAAUUGGCUUUGGCAAAGAUGAUUGCUAUACAAGCCGGAAAAGGAAUAAGAGCUCCGGUGAACACUCCGAAAAGGUAAUCAAUUGCUAUUGUUCGUGUCGUUUUCCUUCUGAAUGAACACUCCGAAAAGGUAUCUAUUUAUGUUUAUGUGUUGUAUUUUACUAAACAAUGGAUCUCUUUUUAUUUACUUUACUAAUGUUUUUUGAGAUCAUAGAGAUAAAAUAACUAAUUUGGCCUCCAAACCCGAUAUAUCGAACUAAAAUUGAGCAUAUUCUUUAACUGAAGACAAGCACUAAAUUUGAUGUUUUUGAUCUGGGUCAUCAAAAAGAUCCGGUUUCCAAUCUGGGUUAUGAAAAAGAUCCAGUUUGUAAUAUGGGUUUGCAAAAGGUUGUUUUGAAUCAAGGGCAUGACUAAGUAGACAAGAAAUCAUUGAUGGUGGCUGGAACAGAGCAAGGAUUACAUCAAACCGGCCCGACUACGCCCCAAAACUACCACCAGCAGUAGCAGCUUAUCUGUGAUCAGCUAUUCGUCGGGGCUGAACAAUGAAAAAUUAUUUGAUUUACACUAACACAUAACUUAGUGACCUGGUGACUUUUUAAAUAACUGCUCUUGGUGAAUUUAUAAAAAAAUGGAUACUAAUAGGUGGUCAAAAGUCUCUUCUUUAUUUUUAUUUUAUGGCUAGAAAAUAUAAAAUUUGAUAGUGACCUGGUGACUUUUCUAACAAUUGGAACUGGUGAAUUUUUUUAAAAAUUGGAUACUAACAGGUGGUCAAAAGUGUUUUCUUAUACUAACAUACGCCUUAUUGCAGCUAUCGACUUACAGCCACCAUCUUUGGCAAAACAAGAAGUGUGCCUAUCUUCCGUCGUUAAAGGUUUUUAAAAAUAUUCAUUCGAGAAACUAAGCAAAUGUAUUGAAUAUCCGAUCCAAUUCCUAUGAUAAAUGGACGUUGGAAAACCAUCGGCAGAAGAGAGAGUUAAGACGGUGUUGAUGUAGACGACUAAGAGUCACAAGGUGCAGUCACCCACUGUCUCGCCGAACGCCGGUUCACUUCCACUGCCAUGACCACAACCUUCGUUCCCACAUUAACAUUAGUAUACAUCAGAGAGUGUAAAAACAUACGUUAGCUCCGGUGUUAAUCUGAUUACUAAGGAGGAAUAAGUUGAGAAGAUCUCAUCAAUUUCAGUAGCAGUUGACGUAGAUCAGUCAAUUAUAGAUGUAAUUCGAAUCGUCUGAGCCUUGGACUUCAAAUAUGGUUAUUACAACCUCGCUUACAUAUCUGAGCGUUGAAGGAUGUUUUGAUAAACAAAGGGGGUACUUAAUUGGUUGUUUUGGAUGGGAUUCCAGGACAACUAAAUCCUUGGAAACUUAUGCCAGAAUCGUGUGUCGAUGUGUGAUAAGGACCCCUGAAGAGCUGCUCUGCCAUGGUUGAGGUUGUCGUAGAACUCGAGAAAACACCGAGAUAACAGCAGGAUUGAUGGGAAAUAGUGGAGGCGUUUCCAACACUGCAGGGAAAUUGGCACACAUGACCAUUGGUUCAGGAUUUUGUUAAGAGGCAUUUUAGCUACAAUUUUGUUGGAGCUCUAAAAUGUAGCCAAAAUGGAUUGGAAGCAUUAUCUAAAAAGUUUGUUCACAUAACAAACUUCCAAAAUGUCUAGAUAUUGUGUUCCACUCAACUUAGUUGGUCAAAUUGAAGAGUUAUUAAGGAAUGAAAUGAAUGCAUAUUUCUCUUCUCCGCCGCCUCACAUGCUCCAGCCGUUUCUCUCCUCCAAACCCUAAUCCCAAAUUUGUUGUCCUCCAUUGAUCGUCGCCUCCAGUUACAGCAUGUUUUCAAGAUGGAGCAAGAAGAAUAUUCUAAAGAGGAAAUAGACUGGAGUUACAUACAGUUUGAGGAUAAUCAAGAUAUUUUAGAUCUCAUUAAAAGUUCAGAAACCAGAAACCUGGGGGGAUCCUUGCUCUUCUGGAUGAGGCUUGAUAUGUUGUUCAAGGGCUUAUUCCAUGUCACGGGUCACUGGAAGUGAUACAAUUUUCUUGAAGUAGAGACAUAGAGAAGAGUUUCUGUGAUAUGUUGUUCAAGGGCUUAUUCCAUGUCACGGGUCACUGGAAGUGAUACAAUUUUCUUGAAGUAGAGACAUAGAGAAGAGUUUCUGUGGAGCUAAAGAUAGAGAUACACACUAAAGACAGAGUUGGGUUAUUAUAUGAUGCUAUACGGUCAAUAGCGUCAUAUAACGGUGUCAAUACUUACAAGGCAGAGACCGGACGGUGGCCGGAGGACGGACGGUGGUGGUCGGAGUAAAGCUAGAUGAGUAGAGCAGGGUGAGGAACUUGAAUGGGGGUUUUAAGCAUCAUGGUGCUGCUCCACAGGUUAAAUUUACAAGUUUUGAUGCCAGAUUGCAUAAUGGUCAGUGAGCUUUAGCAAGAUUUAAGUUCUGCAGUUGUAAAGGACAGAACUAUUCUAUAUGGUGUCCAUGGGAGUGUCCACGGAUUACGGGGUGUGCACGGGGCGCUUCGGCUUUAAGCCUCCACCUGAACCGAGUUAUUCUACCUCGGUCACUAUCUCCCUCUUUCUAAUCGAGGAUUGGGGGUUUUAAGCAUCAUGGUGCUGUUCCGUAGGUAUUGCUUAAAUUUUUAUAUAAACAAUGUUGUUUUGUAUAGCUUUGUUGUUUGGUCACGAAUUUCAUAUGUUUGUUUGACGUAUAAUCCAUGAAGUGUUCUUUCGAAUUAUUGAUGUAUUUUUGUCAGCUUCUUUUUUAUAGAUUCAAACGGUUGGACCCUUGCUGUGGUGGGAAUACUUAUACAACAUAACUUGAUUGCUAAAAUUAGUGGAAUACAUAUUUUGGGUUUAUGUCAUUUAUGUUUUUAAACAUGAUAGUGUCCACGUGUGUGCAGGUUAAAUUUACAAGUUUUGAUGCCAGAUUGCAUAAUGGCCAGUGAAGUUUAGCAAGAUUCAAGUUCUGCAAUUGUAAAGGAUAGGUUAGUGGUAGGCAAGAGUUCAAAUGGAUUUAACUUGAACGAUGGGCUAAUAGUUGGAUAAAAAAGUAUUGUAAAUGGUCUUCGUGGUUGCAGUGAAGUUAGUGGUAUGAUUAGGUUACAAAGAAAUGAUUUUGAUUGUAAUUCAAUACAUCUGAUAACAUUUCUUAGGCAAAUUGCUAAACAAGGUGUAGACGUCAUUGACUUUUUGCUAUUAAGAAACAUGCCAGCCUCUUUACUAGACUUUCCCAGCCUCUUUACUAACCCUUUUUGGAGUUGUUUUGUUUCAUGGUCUAAUAUAAUGCAGCCUAGAUGUACACCUUCAAAAUUCGGCACUGAUGAUCAUGUUGGCUAGCCUUUGGUUGGCCAUAUUUUCACCUUCAUUACCCGUGGCGCAACAUAUGCAGGUCAUUACCCUUGGACUUAAAUCUUGAAACAAAUGAUAUUUUAAUUUGGUUUAUUUUUUUAAUGGAUUGUGCAACGGUACAAGGCUACAAGUAAAAAAGCUGCACAACCGUGUAAUAGAAGCCGAGAUAAUAUCUGGUGCAAAUAUUGGUAGUUGUACAUAUAUACCUCGAUUAAACUUGAUCCCUUCUGAUAAAAAGAUUCCUUUUGCUUUUCAAAGGAGGCAAUUUCCACUGGCCGUAUGUUUUGCAAUGACGAUCAACAAAAGUCAAUGUCAGUCUCUUUCAAGAGUUGGUUUGUACCUCAAACAACCUGUCUUCUCUCAUGGUCAAUUGUAUGUUGCCUUAUCAAAGGUGAAAACAAAAAAUGGAGUCAAAAUACUCAUACUUGACAACAACGGAAAAGCUACAGAUAAAACAACUAAUGUGAUGUAUAAAGAGAUUUUCAACGAAUUGUGAUAUCUGCAUAUUGAUGGUUAAUAAAAAGAUUUUACAUGAUCCGUUUCAA